CAAAAUAUUACUUGGAUCAUCGAUCUUACAAUUGCAUUUUGGAAUUUCGAUCAAUUUCGUUUACUUGCAAAUGAUCAUACUAAAUAUUACGACGAAAACCCGAAAUUCCAGAAUACAAUAUGCAUACCUAAAUAAGAUCAAUGGUUACGCGGUGUAUUAAAUGUAUAAAAUAUUCCAAGUAUAUUAAUAGUCAAUAUGAUGAAAUAAUCGACAAUAACAACAUAAUAUAAGUAUGUUCUUAAAGUGAAUAUUCGAAAAUGGUGAAAACAAAAUUUAACACGAUUUGAAAUUUUAUUCGGUAUCCACUUUGGAGGUUUGCGAAAAAGUUCCUUCGAAUCGUUUGAUACGUAUAAUAAUAAACUUACUUUACUUUGCUAUAAAUUAUAGGGUUUAAAACUCCCGUGCCGUUCGAGUCUGCUACACACACGGGAUGCGCAUUAUAAUAGACAUCUCGUGUUUGUUAGUAUGUUUUAGUCGAUCCCUGUCCAUCGCAUGACGUACAUACACGAUUCGUUCGUUACCGACGGGAUCCUGCUUGCAUUGUAAUAUCGGUAGUCUCGCGGGUUUUACACUUAGAUUCGGGGCCACGGAUUCCAAAAAAAAAAAAAAAAUAUACGAAUCGUAUGGUAUGAUAAAACGUGUAUCUUUUCGACUCGGGUCCUCGAAAAUCCCAAGGACGGGCCCGGUGACAAUAUCACGCCCGCAGUGAUUUUUGGGCGUGCGUUUUUUCGUACACAUAUUCGUAAAGAGCCGCGGACGCGGGAGGGGCAAAAUAUUCGUACUUUUGUCUCGGACGUGGCAACAGUGCAACACCGAUCGUCGUCAUUUUAAUUCAAUAUAGUAUUAUCGUUCUAUUACUUCGUGUAACAGUGUAUAUAAGCGAGUACCUACCCUCUAUAUUAUACGCAUUACUCUAUUAUAACGCCACGCAGCGGAGUAUACGGAUAUUAUUGCGUUCGCCCGAGUCUGGGUAAAUAAAUAUUGCGCCCGGGACUUGGCGCGCGAUAAGCGCAAGAGGUCAUAUUUCGCGUUUAAGUAUAAUAUAUACGCGACCGUUUUCGCAGACAAACGAGAUUUUUAUGUAAUACUCGAGGAAAAAAACACGAAAAAACGAAAAGAAAAAAAAAAAACACGGUAUGAAUAUUAUAUUAAUAUGCGAACGUGUUGGUGAUGUGGAGGGGGAGCGAAUUCGUUUUUUUUUUUUUUUUUUUUUUGGUCUCGCCCAAUCCGACAUAACUCGGUCGCCGAAACAUCCAUUAAAAAGAGUAGGUAGUUGCAGGUAUAAUACACACCCCUUAAUAAUAUUACACUGUUACGCGUCGUGUAAAUUUUACGCUCGAUUUCAAUACAAACCAAAAAAAAAGUCGUACAUAUUUUGUUGUUCGAAAAUCAUAAUAUAUUUCGGACAUUUUGAAUAUUAUACAGACAAUACGGUCGUAGUGGCUUAUCAGUCCGUCUAUAAAAUGCCAUUCGAUUCCGAGCGAGCUUAUACUAUCGUUUACCGUGUGCUUCGACAGAGUCGUACACGAUUUAUCGAUUUUAAGUCCGCGGUUUGGGCCAUUAAAGACCAAUUUAACUUUAAAUACAUUUUGGGAAAUCAAGAAUAAACCAUAUUUCGGCCUUUUUGAUAUUGCAAUAGAGAUUUUUCUAACAACAUUGGUCUUCUAAAAUCUCACAAUAAUACUUGUUUAAAUGCCCCCAUUUAGCACUAGAAAUAGCAACAAAUUUCACUUGAUUGGCCAUAUAACACAUUUUCACCAAAAAGUGGCAUUGGCCCCUUUCGAUCCAUACUCCAGGAGUACAUUGUAACGUUUUAUUUGAUAAAUAUAAUUUUAUGCGAAAAUAAUUUAUUGACAUUUAUACUUAAUUUACAUUAAGAUAUUUAUAUUUAACAUGUAUUUAUCGUAAAUUAUUGUAAAAUACUAAUAAUGUAUUAUUUAAGAACAUUGUAUUUAUAUAAUAUGUAUUCGUCGAAUUAAAACGAAUGUUGUAAAUAAUAUUUAUUAAAAUAUCUACUUUGAGUAUAUUUAUUUCUAUUGCAU
rnacentral:lncRNA from 1 species